GAUGAACGCUGGCGGCGUGCCUAACACAUGCAAGUCGAGCGAACGGACGAGAAGCUUGCUUCUCUGAUGUUAGCGGCGGACGGGUGAGUAACACGUGGAUAACCUACCUAUAAGACUGGGAUAACUUCGGGAAACCGGAGCUAAUACCGGAUAAUAUUUUGAAUUGAAUGGUUCAAAAGUGAAAGUCGGUCUUGCUGUCACUUAUAGAUUGAUCCGCGCUGCAUUAGCUAGUUGGUAAGGUAACGGCUUACCAAGGCAACGAUGGAUAGCCGACCUGAAAGGGAGGACGGCCAGCCGGGCACAGAGGCAGAGCAGAGACACCGGGACGGAGACGCGGUAGAAAAUCUUACGCGAUGCAGCAGUGCGGGACAGUGCAACGCGGGGUAAAUGAUGAAGGUCUUCGGAUGGGAGAACGCUGAUGUUAGGGGGGAAGAUAUGUGUAAGUAACUGUGCACAUCAUGACGGUACCUGAUCAAGAAGCCACGGCUAACUACGUG
rnacentral:rRNA from 1 species